ACUAAACUAUAAAUAAAAAUACAUAUUUAGCAAAUUUAAGAUUACACAAUAAUAGAAAUUUCGUACCUGCUAACCACUUAUCGAGAUAUGGGACAAGAUGGAAAGUUCUUGUAAGCAUCUAUCUUAAAUAUUCAUAACACCAUAUGCAAUAGUGUUUUACUGCAUUUGAUCAUGUAAAGUCCACUCAACCAAAAAAUGAGCUUCACACCACUUGACUAGCAAAUCACCGUAGCAACUGCAGUACUACUCUAUUCUUCAAAAACUUCUACCAUUUGACACAAAUUGAAAAGCAAAGUGCAGCUGAAAUUCAUUAGUAAAAUACAAUUAAACCAUAAAAAGUUCAAAAUACUUAAUAUAAACCAUGAAUAUAUAACUUCACGUCUUGUU
rnacentral:lncRNA from 1 species